rnacentral:rRNA from 1 species
CUACGUAGGGGGCGAGCGUUGUCCGGAAUUACUGGGCGUAAAGAGCUCGUAGGUGGUUUGUCGCGUCGUCUGUGAAAUUCCGGGGCUUAACUCCGGGCGUGCAGGCGAUACGGGCAUAACUUGAGUACUGUAGGGGAGACUGGAAUUCCUGGUGUAGCGGUGAAAUGCGCAGAUAUCAGGAGGAACACCGGUGGCGAAGGCGGGUCUCUGGGCAGUAACUGACGCUGAGGAGCGAAAGCAUGGGUAGCGAACAGGAUUAGAUACCCUGGUAGUCCAUGCCGUAAACGGUGGGCGCUAGGUGCAGGGGUCUUCCACGACUUCUGUGCCGUAGCUAACGCAUUAAGCGCCCCGCCUGGGGAGUACGGCCGCAAGGCUAAAACUCAAAGGAAUUGACGGGG